rnacentral:rRNA from 1 species
AACGAACGCUGGCGGCAUGCCUAACACAUGCAAGUCGAACGAGACCUUCGGGUCUAGUGGCGCACGGGUGCGUAACGCGUGGGGACCUGCCCUUAGGUUCGGAAUAACUCCCCGAAAGGGGUGCUAAUACCGGAUAAUGUCUUCGGACCAAGAUUUAUCGCCUUUGGAUGGGCCCGCGUUGGAUUAGCUAGUUGGUAGGGUAAAAGCCUACCAAGGCGACGAUCCAUAGCUGGUCUGAGAGGAUGAUCAGCCACACUGGGACUGAGACACGGCCCAGACUCCUACGGGAGGCAGCAGUGGGGAAUAUUGGACAAUGGGCGAAAGCCUGAUCCAGCAAUGCCGCGUGAGUGAUGAAGGCCUUAGGGUUGUAAAGCUCUUUUACCCGGGAUGAUAAUGACAGUACCGGGAGAAUAAGCUCCGGCUAACUCCGUG